CCAUACAGGCCAGAAAAAGGUGUCAGAUCCCCUGGAACAGCAGUUAAAGGUUGUUAUGAGUCACCUGAUAUAUAAGUAAUGGAACUGACCUCAGGCUUUUUGCAAGAACACGUAUACAGCUCACAGAAAUCUUCCAGGCAGUGCAGGAGUCACACGUGACUGUAGAUGAGAAGGACUAGCCUGACGACUCACACGCACUACAGGACUUCCAGGCAACAGCCGAGCUCUCAGAGUACACCUGUACAUCAUCCUCCUCUGGGAUCACUGGCUACUUCCAAGACACCACGGACACCCAAGAGUCUAGCCCAGCAGCAGCUUGAGCCUUGUGCUUC